CUGGGAGCCACAAGUGAGAGCUGGGUGUCAGGUAGGGGUCAGAGGCUGGAGAGCUGCCCUAGGAGGGCACGACAAGCCCUCCAUACCAAGGUGCUACCCCUCCCUGAGCACCCAAAGAAAUUAAAGCACAGGGGAAGAAAAAGAAAAGGAAAGGAAAGAACAUCAACAAGCAGGAAAGGAACCAGAGGAGAGCAUCUAGGAGAUGGACCAGCUGAGGAAAGAAAUGAGGUGCUUCAGCAACCCAGAGGUGGAACAACAGAUUGCAGAGAAGCCAAUUGCUAGUUACCCGAGAUGCCUACAAAUAAGUAUGCUAUGAUGGACGUAUACAGGACAAGCACUGACUUUACUAUUCCAAAAAAUCCAGAGGUGCCAUGAUUCCUGUGAGUACUGCAGCUGAAAUGACCCUGGAGUGGCAAUGGAGGAAUGCUGUUGGAAUCUUUACAACAGAAGCCACCCACAAGAUGAUUGUUUGGAGUGUGCCCAAACUACAAUAGUCAAGUACCAAAGAUGUUAGGGCAAUGCCAAGAUGAGUUAAAACAUAAAAUGGGUAACAAGCAAGCCAUAUCAAAAAUAGUACUAUAUUAUGAUAAGGCUUAAGUAUUAGUUUCUCAGUGAUGGUAAACACAUUAUGAAAUGGGUUAUUGAAUUAUAUUCUAAUCAUUCUCCUGCUGUAC
rnacentral:lncRNA from 1 species